AUUUUUAUAGUUUAUAAAAAAUAUUAAAUUGCAAAUUUAAAGAAUUUGUUGAGAAUAAAAAUU
rnacentral:tRNA from 1 species